GGCACGUAAACUUCAUUUUGGCUACGUUGGACUACGUUUCAUCGCUGUGGCUGUGACACUUUGGUCGGAUAAUAAUGUCUUGUUCAGCGUUCGGUUGCACGGCAAGACACUCAAAGGAAUCGGCAGUUCAGUUUUUCUGACUUCUUUUUGAUGAUGCCAGGCUGAAGCAAUGGUUGGUGAACAUGAGGAGAGAGACCAGCAGAUGGAACCACGAAAAGCCCCGUCUGCUGUUCACACUUUGAGGAAGAUCAGUUCUUUAGAGACAAGCAGGUAUCCAAACUGAAAACUGAAUGAGCAGAGCCUCCAGAAGGAAGACCUGGUGUAUAGAGCCUCCAGGAAGACCUGGUGUAUAGAGCCUCCAGGAGGAAGACCUGGUGUGUAGAGCCUCCAGGAGGAAGACCUGGUGUAUAGAGCCUCCAGGAGGAAGACCUGGUGUAUAGAGCCCUGGUGUAUAGAGCCUCCAGGAGGAAGACCUGGUGUAUAGAGCCUCCAUAAGGACGACCUGGUGUAUAGAGCCUCCAGAAGGAAUACCUUGUGUAUAGAGCGGUGUAUUUGGUGCCAUUUCAUCUGGAUGUGGAAACCAGACAGCGUUGACCACAUCCAAAGUUCUCAAAUAUGUUUUGAUUAUAAUAAUGCCGGAAAAUCUAUUUUGGUUCAGCUUCUUCUGCUGAAAGGAUGGACAAACUUUUAGCACUUGGUAGUUAGAG